UUUUAAUCUUAUUUUAAUUUGACUUUGAUUAAGCCCCGUAUAAGCUUAUAAGAGAAUUUUGUUUUAAAAUAAAAUUUUACUAUUAUUUUUUUAAUGGCCUUUAAGCGAUUGGAGGAAAAAUAAGCUUGAUCGAUUAUUCUAUUUUAUAAUAAUCAUAGUUUUGAAUUUCGAUCCGAUUCGGUGGGUUAAAGGGUACAACUCGUGAAUCGGUCUUGCAAAUGAUUUGGUCCAUCCUCAAAAUCCUUUUCAUAUCAAAACUGGUAAAAAAAAUUUUUUUAAUUCACUUAUUCGAUAAAAAAAAUAAAUUUUUUUAACCCUUCUUGAAAUAAUCCUUACUUCAAAGAAAAUGUAGCUCACAUUCUCUUCCUUUAUUCUCUCUCCUUGAAUAUUCAAUUAGAUUGCUUGAUUUUCUUCAUUUCCACUCUCAUCUAUGUUCCCUCUUAGUGCAGGUUAGACUUCAAUAGUAAGUCUCUUUUUAUUUCUCUUGUUUUAAAUGGUUUCUUGAAUUAAUUUUUCUUUAAUCACAUUGUUUGGGAGGACAAUUUAAUUAUUCUUCAAAUGAAGCUUUGAUAUUUGUGACUUUUAUAACAUAAGAUUAUUAAAUACUUUUAUAGUGGCAAAUUUCAAGCAACUUGAUAUGUUUUUGUGGAAUUUUCGGUUAUGAUUUUUGUGCUGUAAUAGUCAGUGGCAUGAACCUUCAACGUGAAAGAGAAG
rnacentral:misc_RNA from 1 species